CAAAUAUUUCAAUCAAGAUUGAUAACGAACUAGCGAUGCUUUGUCAAUGUCAAAAUGCAGCUAUUAUUAGGACAAUGAAGGGGGUAGGUACUGGGUGUUGGUAGAGCUCGUCUAGCCGACGGAGACGGAAUCCGGAAGUUCAGCGAAGUUUUCCGUGGAGCAGUUUCCAUCAGAGGGCAGAGUCAGCUUGGAGGGCAGAAUCUCCUUGACAGCGGAGCAUUUGAAUCACUGUGAAAGAAAGAUGAGAGCAAGAGGGAAUGUGCAGCGCCAGACGCCGGGCCCUGUAGGUCAUGAAUGAUAGCUCCAUGACAGCUG
rnacentral:lncRNA from 1 species